UAGGGAAUCUUCGGCAAUGGACGGAAGUCUGACCGAGCAACGCCGCGUGAGUGAAGAAGGUUUUCGGAUCGUAAAGCUCUGUUGUAAGAGAAGAACGAGUGUGAGAGUGGAAAGUUCACACUGUGACGGUAUCUUACCAGAAAGGGACGGCUAACUACGUGCCAGCAGCCGCGGUAAUACGUAGGUCCCGAGCGUUGUCCGGAUUUAUUGGGCGUAAAGCGAGCGCAGGCGGUUAGAUAAGUCUGAAGUUAAAGGCUGUGGCUUAACCAUAGUAGGCUUUGGAAACUGUUUAACUUGAGUGCAAGAGGGGAGAGUGGAAUUCCAUGUGUAGCGGUGAAAUGCGUAGAUAUAUGGAGGAACACCGGUGGCGAAAGCGGCUCUCUGGCUUGUAACUGACGCUGAGGCUCGAAAGCGUGGGGAGCAAACAGGAUUAGAUACCCUGGUAGUCCACGCUGUAAACGAUGAGUGCUAGGUGUUAGACCCUUUCCGGGGUUUAGUGCCGUAGCUAACGCAUUAAGCACUCCCGCCUGGGGAGUACGACCGCAAGGUUG
rnacentral:rRNA from 1 species